rnacentral:rRNA from 1 species
ACGAACCUGCGAAGGCAAGCGGAUCUCUUAAAGCCGUUCUCAGUUCGGACUGUAGGCUGCAACUCGCCUACACGAAGCUGGAAUCGCUAGUAAUCGCGGAUCAGCACGCCGCGGUGAAUACGUUCCCGGGCCUUGUACACACCGCCCGUCACACCAUGAGAGUCUGUAACACCCAAAGCCGGUGGGAUAACCUUUAUAGGAGUCAGCCGUCUAAGGCAGGACAGAUGAUUAGGGUGAAGUCGUAACAAGGUAAC